rnacentral:rRNA from 1 species
GAUGAACGCUAGCGGCAGGCUUAAUACAUGCAAGUCGUGGGGCAACAUGAGUGUAGCAAUACAUUUGAUGGCGACCGGCAAACGGGUGCGGAACACGUACACAACCUUCCUAUAAGUGGGGAAUAGCCCAGAGAAAUUUGGAUUAAUACCCCGUAACAUAACGAUGUGGCAUCACAUUGUUAUUAUAGCUUCGGCGCUUAUUGAUGGGUGUGCGGCUGAUUAGAUAGUUGGCGGGGUAACGGCCCACCAAGUCUACGAUCAGUAGCUGAUGUGAGAGCAUGAUCAGCCACACGGGCACUGAGACACGGGCCCGACUCCUACGGGAGGCAGCAGUAAGGAAUAUUGGUCAAUGGACGCAAGUCUGAACCAGCCAUGCCGCGUGAAGGAUUAAGGUCCUCUGGAUUGUAAACUUCUUUUAUCUGGGACGAAAAAAGGCUUUUCUAAGUCACCUGACGGUACCAGAUGAAUAAGCACCGGCUAACUCCGUGCCAGCAGCCGCGGUAAGAC